GCACACUGGCGCGCGGCGGUCCUGCCUGAGUGACUGGUGCUGAGUCGACGCUCCGCUGACCCUCAACAACUUUGUGACACUUGAGUUCGGACAUCACUUUCUGCCCUAAAGGUGUGUAAUCAGCACCAGGCAAGGACUGGCAGAGAGUGUCUAGCAGACCUUGAGGGUGACCACGUGUUGUGCGACGUGGUGAGGAAAGAGACAGGCCACCUGUAACGCAGCCAGCUGGCACUGCGUGACCUCACCACCUGGACAUUACUUGUGCCACCAGAGCGUUACCGUGACAUGUUCCUGCCUUGAUUCAAAGGAGUGCUUCGCCUCAUGACUUGACUUGCUUGAAGUUGUGUGUGUCUGUGUGUGCGAGAUUCUGUCGGUCGUGAAAAGCUACAAGGUAAUUGCACCACCUGAGGCCCACCUGUUGAGCCUCGGGUGGCCACCUGCACCACCUGCCUACCUGCGACGUGCUCACGAACUCCUGCAUCUUUCCCUUCACCUGUUACGUAACAGUAAAGAGAAAACAUGAGGGGGAGCGUUAACUAUGCAACCGCGCGCCGCCUCGUCCUCCUCCUCGUCCUCGUGGCAACUCUUCGCACACAUGGCUUGCCGGAGGGGCUGCGUCCUUGCCGGUGGUGGAGACCCGCAGAGUGGCGCUGGGAGGGGAAGGAGGAGGCACGCGUCUGAACCAAGUCCUCCUCCUCUGCCUGCCUCCUGGGGCGAGAUCUGAGGACGCGCCACCUGUGUCUACUGCAGGAGGUGGCGAGGGAGAGGUGCCUUGGGGAUGGAACUUGAUGGGCACUUUGGAUUUGCGUGGAAGACUUCUACUGGACGCCUGGGAUGUGGAUACUGAAGGAGAUGCGCCCCCCGAGGAACACCUGGCUGAGGACACCCCCAUUUGGCACCUAGAUUACCUGCACCCGAGUCUCAGCUACGACUUGGCGGGCAACCGAGUGCUGGUGUGGCUUAGAAGUGACAAAUCCUCCUUCUCCUCCUCCUCCUCUUCUUCCUCAUCCUCUUCCUCCUCCUCUGCCUCCUCUUCUUCCUCGCUCUCGUCCUCAAUUUCCUCUCCCAUCACGUCACCUCAUCCCUCUCCUCCGCCACCUCCUCCGUCAUCCCCCACUCCUCCGCCACUUCCCUCCCCCGUAGUUGUAUCUCCUCCCUCUCUCCUCUCGCCCGGUCUAUACCAUGCGACCCCCUCUGUCCAUCCUCGUAAGAGCGCUCCAAGUUUGCCUGUCGCUUCUCAUCUCUCCAUCACUUCUAUAUUUUUCCCGACCACCGCCGCCUUCCACCCAACCUCACGCCCCACUACUCUCUCCAUCUCCUCACUACCACCUCCUCCAUCUUCCUUCCUCCACCAUCGCUUCCACGCCCCCUCAACACCCCCACCUACCUUGAAGACUCCAUCCAAACCAUCCUCACCAUCUACACCACCCUCCUUGCCUUCCAUCACCAGCCCGUCACAGCCGCCGCCACCACGCAGCCUCCGUCACCUGUCAUCACCUCAACGUCAGUCCAACUCAAGGCUCUUGGCAGUUCUACGAUGUGCUUCUCCGUCAAGGCCCUCCAGUAGCCCACACCGCCUCGCCUCCUCCGUCGUCCACGUCCUGGAAGAGUGCGAGGCAGCGGGAGAGACACGCGGGAAGACCAGCCUCUCAAUCCUAUGCCUCAAACACCUCCCAUCACCACCACCACCACCAUCGCCACAGUCACCACCACCACUAUCGCGGAAACUCCCCUACCAACCCCAGCCACCACUCCUGCAAGCUGCCCAGCCCCGCCACACACAGCCGGAGCCAAGCAGACACCCUUUUCUCCGCCUCACAACAGAGUCCACGCGAACAACUGGCCAGAGCACGUUCAAGCAGCGUCACAGCAGCCCUUCAGUGAUAGGGACGCCUCUCUCAGGAGGUAACUCGCCGCCAGAAACAGUUGCAGACGACACCAGCGUCAGUAUGGAUCAGGAAAAUGUAAACGUAAUAUCUGAAAACGUCAGGGAAGAUGAUAGAACACUAGACGGUGACACAGCUGUCCAGGAGGCUGAGUCCUCUGCCAGCAGCGAGGCGACAGUUGGAGGAGACGCGGAGGCGGCGGCGGGAAGGGAAGGCACCGAAUCCGCCACGUCACCCGACAACACGAGAUGGGAUGAGAGUGUCAUUGGAGGACACCAGCACGCCUUGGACGGCCAGGAGUGGUUCUCUGAGGAAGACGAGGUGGGCGUGAGGACCAUUGUUGGGCUGCGGCGCGCCUCCAGGGACCUCGGCCUCAACCCUUACCAGCGCCAAGAGUCUGCCCCACAGCUUCGCUACACGCCCAUCGAUCAGACAGUGUCCCCUGGGGCGCCCGUGUCCCUCAAGUGCUCGGCUGUGGGCUCGCCCCUGCCUGUGAUCACCUGGACCCGCGACCAGCAGCCCCUGCCGCCCUCCCACCGGACCAGCGUGGGCAGCUUCCGCACCGCGCUGGGGCAGGUGGUGAGCCACGUGAACUUAAGUGACGUGACGGUGCGGGAGGGCGGCAUCUACACUUGCACCGCGCACAACGCCCAUGGUGCCCAGGCACACACCGCCCGCCUCAAUGUGUACGGUCCUCCCUUCGUGCGCGCCAUGCCCAACGUGACCGCCGUGGCGGGGGAGGACGUGCGGCUGUGGUGCCCAGCGGGCGGGUAUCCGGUGCCCGCCGUCUCCUGGAGGAGGGAGGGGCGCUCCCUCCCCUCCUCCAUCAGGCAAGAAGUGCUGAGCAACGGUACGCUGCUGGUGCGGACGGCGAACCACGAGGACGCCGGCCGCUACUCCUGCGUGGUGACGGGACGGCAGGGCCAGACGGCCGCCUCGCACACCUUCCUGCACGUCCUCAAGCCUCCUGCCAUUGAGCCCUUUAGAUUCCGGCCCAACCUGAAGGAGGGGGAGCGGACACAACUCACCUGCGUCGUUAAUUCUGGUGAUCUGCCCAUGACGAUUAAUUGGCUCAAGGACGGACGACACCUGCAGCACGACCCAGACAUUGACCGAAAGCAGAUCCACGAGUACUCCACGGUCCUGUGGUUCAAAAAGCUGCGGGAACACCACUCGGGCUCCUACACUUGCGAGGCGGCCAAUGCAGCAGCCACGGCCAACCACACAGCGUCUAUCAAAGUGAAGGUGUCGCCGCGGUGGGUGGUGGAGCCAGCGGGAGGCACGGCGCUGGUGGGCUCCACGGUGGUACUAGAUUGCAGUGCUCGAGGCCACCCGCAGCCCGUCAUUACCUGGAUGAAGGCGUCAGGCAAGGCUGCACAGGAUUUCCAGCCGAUGGUGGUGGACGGGCUCAGGUCCUCCCAGGCAGCCAACGGGUCCCUGGUGCUGCAUAAGGUGUCCCGCAACCACGCCGGCUGGUACCAGUGCCGCGCCGAUAACACAGUGGGCACCCCGCUGGCCGAGAUGGUGCAGCUCACAGUCUACGCCCCGGCCCGCGUGGUGACAGAGGGAGGGCGAGUGACGGGACACGCCGGCCAGGUGGUGACUGUGGCGUGUGAGGCAACAGGUGACGACCCUCUCACAGUCACCUGGCUAAGGCACCACGCGCCUCUCUCACCAGGACACAGGGUGACGGUGAGUGAGAGCAGCGUGGGAGGCGCCGUGAGAGCAAUGCUGGAAGUGAGGGAGGUGACAGCAGCUGACGCCGGCCCGUACACCUGCCGCGCCACCAAUCCUCACGGGGAGCACUCCCAGGUGUUCACUAUCGCCAUCAUAGAGCCUCCCCGCGCCCCUGUGGGAGUGGAGGUGACGCAGGUAGGGAGCAGGUCGGCCCACCUCGCCUGGAGCCUCCCCCAGCCAGCCGCCGUCACCAUCCAGUACAAAGCGGCAGAGGGAGAAGCUUGGGCGUCGCACGGACGUAACGUGAGCGUGGGUCAGUGGGCGGCAUCACACGUACUGACGGGCCUCUCCCCGCACCUCACCUACGCCGUCAGGCUGAUGGCACACAACGACCUGGGUGUGUCGCUGCCCUCACCCACGCAACUCUUCACCACCUCCGAGGAGGCGCCUUCCGGGGCCCCAAGGGACGUGAGAGUAGCGGCAGGGGGCCCACGCUCCUUGCUUGUCACCUGGCGGGCCCCAGACCCCCGCCUCACCCACGGGACCCUCAGAGGCUACACGCUCGCCCUGCGCCGCCAGAACCUACAGGGCCACUUCACUUUCAUCACCAGGCCCGUCACCGCUGUCCUCGGUGACGUUGAGGCCGUGGAGCAGUACGAGGUGCGUGGCCUGGUGCCGGCGUCCCUGUACGAGGUGGCGGUGCGGGCCUUCACCAGGGCGGGGCCGGGGCCACUCUCUUCCCCGAGGAUCGUCGACUCCACCUCCCAUGACGCCCCGUCGUGUCCUCCCUCCGGAGUGUCGUGCCGUGGGUCAGGACGAGGAGGAGUAAGAGUGUGGUGGUCGCCGCCGCCCACACAUUGCGCCCACGCUCCCGUCAGCGGCUACACCGUCAUCGCCACACCCACGCAGCACGUUCACCACUCCUCAGGCAGCAGCGCGUGGGAGGUGAACACAACCAACCUGGAGAAGAAUCUGGACUCCCUGCCGCCCGCCACCAACAUCAGCGUGAGGGUGAAGGCUUUCAAUGAGGUGGGCUUCUCCCCGCCCAGCCGACCUGUCUUCUGCGUCACUGAGGAUGAUGUGCCCGGACCACCGAGACACCUGCGCGUGGUAGUGACGGGACCCUCCAGCCUUCUCGUCACCUGGUCUCCGCCUUGGCCCCACACUGGCGUCAUUCUGCACUACACUCUCUACUCCUCCAGGGACGACCAGGUUGAGAUGAGGGAUCUGGUGGGCGCCGGCGGGUCGGAGGCCACUUGGCGGGAGCUAAGCGGCCUGACGGAAGCCUCCAGGAUCCAGGUGUGGGUGACAGCGACCACUGUGGCGGGGGAAGGCAGCCAGUCUCCGCGGCUCACGGAAAUACCCAAGCCUACGCCUUCCUACGCCCCUAUUGUUGUGGGCGGUGGAGGACGCAAGUGGCGUGUGGGCGUGGGAUCAGGGGUGACUUUAGGCUGUCGGGGACUGGGCACACCCGCACCCACAGUGUCCUGGACUAAGGGUGGAACCACCCUCAGCAGUGGCCCCCUCACGCAGCUCCUUCCUGGCGGGGACCUCCACCUCACGGCCGUGCAGGAUUCCGACAACUACACGUGCUGGGCGAGAAGCAGCGCUGGCGUAGACAACCUCACCCAUCAAGUGGUGGCCCUCACGCCCCCUGAAGCACCCAACCUCUCUCUCUCCCACGCCUCCCACCACGCUCUCAACUUAACCGUCAUGCCAGCGGCUGACGGCGGUGCCCCUAUACUGGGUUACACCCUUCACCACCGAGGCCGCGCAGGGGAGUGGGUGGAGACACCCGGGGAUCCGGCUGGGCGGAGCGUGAUGGUAAGGGGCUUGGCGUGCGGGGCGUCUCACCAUCUCUAUCUCACCGCCUGGAAUACUCACGGCACCUCGGCUCCCAGCCCCGUCCUGGACACCAGCACCCUGGGCAGCCCGCCGGGCCGGCCCAACCCUGCCUCGCUGGUGGAGGUGAACGCCACAUGCGUCACGCUGCGGCUGUACGUGUGGCCUGAGCACGGCUGUCCCAUCACCCACUGGAAGGUGGAGCGCGGCAAUGAGUUGAGCGGCUCCUCAUGGACCACUCUGCACGCCCGCGUCACGCGAGACACGGGCGACCUGGGCCUGUGUGACCUGCACUCAGGCUCCUGGCACCUCCUCAGGGUGACGGCAGCCUCCACCGCCGGGGACACGUCGGUGCUGUACCGCGUGGCUACGAGGGACACUAACGGGGGAACCAUCGCCGCCCAGCCAGUGCAGGAGGUGUCGGUGAGCCGCGGAGGGGGAGCAGAGGCGUGGCUGGACGCACACGUGGUGGCGGGGGUGGUGAGCGCCGUCCUAUUAGCCGCGGCCCUGGUCAUCUGCGUGUGUGUGGCGGUGAGGCGGCAGCGGUACGGAGGCUACAGGCAAGGCGGCAGUUUGGACACCAAGGGCGGGGGCGGUGAGGACGACAACGCCCGUAACUCCGAGCUGACCCGCGCCCACCUGUACUCCCCGACACCCACCAAGAAGCCCCGCGGGUCCCUUGCAUCCCUCAAGACCCAGGACGACACCUCGGACCCCUACGAGAUCUGUCCCUACGCCACCUUCAGCGUGGGGAGCUCGGAAGGUACUCUAGAGUACGGUCUGUCCCUUCACACCCUCACCCCGCGGGACUGCCUCGACACCCCCGACACCUACAGCGACCGCCACCCGCAGCAGUCCCCCACGUACGGCCAGGUGGGGCGCCAGCGGCCUCAGUCACAUUUCAAGGAGACGGAGAUCGCCUACAUUAGCAGUCGAGGGCGCGCAGAGUAUGCAAGUCGCCCUAAGUCACUGCCGGGCGCCGCUCCUCAGUCGGGGAUAGAAGUUGCUCAGGCACCGACGGGAGGCAAGUGGCCUGAUGACGCACGGAAGGACACCACAGGCAGCCGUCCACACCGCUCCAGAAGCCGCUCUAGAGGUGACAUGCCAAAGAGAGACUCCAGCACUGAGAGCAAUGAUGCCUCCUCGCCCGUCCCUCAGCUGCCUCACUACCAGCACCCACAGACUCAACAGCACCGGCACUUCAUCCAGCAGCAGCAGCAACCUCAGCCUCAGCAGCAGGGCGCGGCAGGGGGCGGCGCGGGGGGUAGAGUUGGCCCCCACCCUCUGCCGCCUGUCCGCCAUGCCAGAGCACCCAGUGAGUCUUCCUCCAGCGACAUGUCUCCCCUCACGCCCCCGCGCCCCCUCCACCCUCCCUCCGCAUUCUCCGACUCCAGGGAGAUGUCUGAGGCGGAGUGCGACAGGGAGCUGCGACAGGGCGGCACGGGAGGGACGGGGGUAGCCGGGCAGCGGGCGAGAGGGAGGGCGAAUGGCGGGAAGACAGCAGCGAGUAGUAACAAUAACAAUAACGUAGCGAAUGAGUUACUUAUGAUGCUGAGUCAGUAUGAACAGCAGCAGCAGCAGCAGGAGCAGCAGCAGCAGCAGCAACAACACAGUGCACCCCAGAAGCCGCCGCAGAAGGUGACCACGAAUGCGUCAACGGCGAAGGUUCCGUACAGCAUCAACGUUUAGUGUCACAGCUUCGUGCAAAUACAAAAAAAAAAAUGGUCUGUCUAGUGUGCCAGGAGAGAAACUCGCCACCGACACUAAGAAAAAAUAAAACUAAACAAAAAAAAAUAGAGAGAAAAGAUGUAAUAUAAACCAAACAAACCGAUGACUCAAGUGAUCAAUGUUGUGUUAUGAAUGUGUCAAGUCUAUACGCCACAGUUUUACGUUACUUUUUGUUCCCGUUUUCUUUUUCACCGCCCUUCCUGCUCCUAAGUCAGUGUCACUCUGCGUGUGCCGUGCCCGCCGCUGUGUUCGUCUGGCCGUGCUGUGUCCCGUGGCGCCCUAGAUGGGAGGGAACCCGGAUAUGUAUGUGUAGAGUUAAGCAAGAUCCCACCUCCACCUCUUGACCCUCUUCCAACCUUAUCCUCUGGCAAUACCGAGCCUCUCCACCCAUCACCACUGCAUGCACGGACAGGAACCCACGAACCCAGGAACCAACACGCUCAGCACCUUACCUCAGGAACACCAAGGGAGAGGAAG